UAGUCCACGCCGUAAACGAUGGAUACUAGCUGUUCGGAUUUAUCUGAGUGGCUAAGCGAAAGUGAUAAGUAUCCCACCUGGGGAGUACGUUCGCAAGAAUGAAACUCAAAGGAAUUGACGGGGGCCCGCACAAGCGGUGGAGCAUGUGGUUUAAUUCGAUGAUACGCGAGGAACCUUACCAGGGCUUAAAUGUAGAUUGACAGAUUUGGAAACAGAUUUUUCUUCGGACAAUUUACAAGGUGCUGCAUGGUUGUCGUCAGCUCGUGCCGUGAGGUGUCAGGUUAAGUCCUAUAACGAGCGCAACCCCUGUUCGUUAGUUGCCAUCGAGUAAUGUCGGGAACUCUAACAAGACUGCCGGUGCAAACCGUGAGGAAGGUGAGGAUGACGUCAAGUCAGCAUGCCCCUUAUGCUCUGGGCUACACACGUGCUACAAUGCCGUGACAAAGAGUUGCUACUUGUGAAAACAAGCUAAUCUCAUAAACGCGGACCUCAGUUCGGAUUGCG
rnacentral:rRNA from 1 species